CAUGGGUCACUAUGCCUCCGGUUCAAACAUGGGCUUCCACUCAGCCAAAGAGGGAGCCAACAAAUUUUGGAGGCCAAUUCAAAAACAAAAAACAUCAGAGAGAGAGAGAGAGAUAGACAGAGAACAUGAAUAAUCCUAAGGCCUUCAUUUCAUAAUUGACAUUUUAUCCCACUCACUAGGAUCCUUUGGUGGAUUCAUCUCC
rnacentral:misc_RNA from 1 species